CCAGGCUUUUAUAAACUUAUGUUUUCAUGCCAUCAAUUGAUCACGUUGAACACGGCUGAGCUCCACCUGUCACUGUCAUGCCGCCAAAGGGAGGGAGUUGCAACAGGGAAAAUAUUUCAUUCACUGGGAGCAGAAGGAAUCAGAAUGCUCUGGAUUAUUCUCUGUUAUGCUAUUAUAUAAAAUUUAAUUUAACCUGAAACAAAAAUGACAAUCAACAAUGACAAGCUACCCCUGCUGAAAAGCAGCACUGAAGCUGCUGGAGGGAUGAGCUGGCUGAAGGGGAGGCAUCAGCAGAGAAGGGAUUCUGUUAAUGGAAGGAAGAGUGAAAGAGAAGGAAGCUCAGGAAGGUCUCAUAGGUUCACAGAGAAGGUAUGUAAGAUUAAGAACAAAAAUAAUUUCAGACUGUUUCUUUCUUUGACUGCUGCUGAAUGUAUGGCAUGUGGGACAAACCGGUGCCUGGCUUAACUACAGAAAAUUGAUAGCAGCUGUACUUCUGUGGGGAUUAGAAGGAACUGCUUCCUGACUCACAGGUCUGUGUAAAAUAUAUCCAUGCACAACUUGGCUUAAUGUAUUCUCCAACAGAUAAAGCUACCAAGUUAAGGAACCCAAGUGUUUCUUUUCAUUUACCACAAACACCAUCAUUUGUUAUUCUUGUCAAUUCUUUUAUUGGUUUUCAUCCUAAAGACUAGCACAUUUACAGCAUACAUGGAUUGGAUGAACUAGAAUAUAUAAAACAGUAGCCAUAUGAUAUAUUAAUACUGCCCAAAACCAAAUAAAUAAAAAUAUUUCAAUGCACAAA